CCUACGGGUGGCAGCAGUGGGGAAUAUUGCACAAUGGGCGAAAGCCUGAUGCAGCAAAGCCGCGUGAAGGAAGACGGUUUUCGGAUUUUAAACUUCUGUUCUUAGUGAAGAAUAAUGACGGUAACUAAGGAGCAAGCAACAGCUAACUACGUGCCAGCAGCCACGGUAAUACGUAGGUGUCAAGCGUUGUCCAGAAUUCGUUGGUGUCCAGGGAGCGUAGGCGGGAAGGCAAGUCAGCUGUGAAAACUACGGGCUUAACCCGUAGACUGCGGUUGAAACUGGCUUUCUUGAGUGAAGUAGAGGUUGGCGGAAUUCCGGGUGUAGCGGUGAAAUGCGUAGAUAUUCCGAGGAACACCGGUGGCGAAGGCGGCCAACUGGGCUUUAACUGACGCUGAGGCUCGAAAGUGUGGGGAGCAAACAGGAUUAGAUACCCUAGUAGUC
rnacentral:rRNA from 1 species